rnacentral:rRNA from 1 species
UACGUAGGGGGCAAGCGUUAUCCGGAUUUACUGGGUGUAAAGGGAGCGCAGACGGAACUGCAAGUCUGAUGUGAAAGCCCGGGGCUCAACCGCGGGACUGCAUUGGAAACUGUAGAUCUGGAGUGCCGGAGGGGCAAGCGGAAUUCCUGGUGUAGCGGUGAAAUGCGUAGAUAUCAGGAGGAACACCGGCGGCGAAGGCGGCUUGCUGGACGGCAACUGACGUUGAGGCUCGAAAGCGCGGGGAGCAAACAGGAUUAGAUACCCUGGUA